rnacentral:rRNA from 1 species
GAUCAACGCUGGCGGCGUGCCUAAUGCAUGCAAGUCGAGCGGGGUGGCCUUGGGCCACUUACGCGGCGGACGGGUGCGGAACACGUGGGCAACCUGCCCCGAGGUGGGGGAUAGCCGGUGGAAACACCGGGUAAUUCCGCAUGAGGUCACUGGCUGGAGGGCUGGUGAGGAAAGGCUCUUCGGAGUCGCCUUGGGAGGGG